rnacentral:rRNA from 1 species
ACUCAAAGGAAUUGACGGGGGCCCGCACAAGCAGCGGAGCGUGUGGUUUAAUUCGAUGCAACACGAAAAACCUCACCAGGGUUUGACAUGUCGGAAGUAGCGAACCGAAAGGUAGACAAACUGUCAAGUCAGUAGCCGUCACAGGUGCUGCAUGGCUGUCGUCAGCUCGUGCCGUGAGGUGUAUGGUUAAGUCCUGCAACGAGCGCAACCCUCGUGGUUAGUUGAUUUCUCUAACCAGACCGCCCCGCAAAACGGGGAGGAAGGUGGGGAUGACGUCAAGUCAGCAUGGCCUUUAUACCCUGGGCUACACACACGCUACAAUGGGUGGUACAAUGGGUAGCAACAACGCGAGUUGAAGCCAAUCCCUUAAAACCAUCCUCAGUUCAGAUUGCAGGCUGAAACUCGCCUGCAUGAAGUAGGAGUUGCUAGUAAACGCAAAUCAGCAUGUUGCGUUGAAUACGUUCUCGGGCCUUGUACACACCGCCCGU